ACCUGACAAUGGCUUAUGAAUUGAGGUGGAGCAACACAACGUUACUGCAUAACAAGGAGGCCUAAGUGCGGUGAGGAUUUUUUCCUGCUGAGGUACCAGUGCCAGGUGGCUCAUGGAGAAACCCUUGACAUGAUAAUGAGAGGAAUGCAGGUUGGACUGUUGAUUGGACACAAAGGCCCUCUGCAUGAUGCAUUUCCUUUGGAAGUCUUUAAUGUGGCAGUGGUAGUAGAGAAGAUCAUCCUACAUGACCUCAGAGAUGUGCCCACAGGCUUUGCCAUGUUAAUGAGUGCAAUCUACUGCCGUAACCUUGAGUACCCCCAUAAUAUGAAGUACUCCUUUCAGUUCCUUCAGAGAGUGAUCAUUAAACAGGACCAAUGCUCAGCAAAAAUCCAUGGGCUCAGAAAUAAACUGCUUAAAUGUCGCAUGUAAACAAGUGACUGCACAUCAUCUCAAGCCCCUACUAGGAGGAAGCUGUUAUUUCGGAAUGGUAUUGUUUUUCUCACAUUGUUCAUGUUUUCAACAGUAUAGUUUGUACAGGGCAGGUCAGGUAUGGACAAAGCAAGUUAAGUAUGGAUGAAAAAUGAAAAGGUGAAAAAUCUUACAUACUGCUCUGAGCUGUAGGUUUGGUAUAGUUCAAAUGUGCAAACCUUUUUUGAGGCACUAACUUUCACAUAUAACAAAAAACAAACAUAAUUUUUCUUAAGAAUUGUGUUAAAUGAAUCUUUUUGACAUGGAAGUUUAUUCUAUGGUUUUAUAAAGUUCUCAGUAUACCACAUUUUGCCUCUGCACAACUCCACUCUACCUUAUCUCUUUCUCCAUCUCUCUCUCUUCUCUCAAAGUAUGUUUGAUAAACACAUCUGCUUUUGGGGUGUUUACAAUGUACAGUAUUAUUCUUGUUCAUACUGAGAUUUUAUGAACCUGUUGUUAUCUGACAUUUUGCCUCAUUGUAUAACACCUGCCCAUCUGUCCCUCUUUCCCCAGCACUCCCAGUUGUCAACAUAUGUGGGGCCCAUGUGUUAAAACACUGUUUUGAUGUUUAAGAUGUAUGAAUGUGCAACAUUAUUCUUGUUCAUUUAAAGAUUUUAUGAACCUGUUGUCAUUAUCUCACAUUUACCUCAUUGUACAACCCAGCUCCACCCUCUGUCUGUCUACAACACCCCCCCCCGCAGCUAUUUGGAUGUGAAUACAUGUUUGAGAUGUACCAAAACCCAAUGUUUAAGCUCAUGUAUAAUAAAUAAAUGUUUUUCAAAUAAAUGUUCUAUUAUAUUUUUGAACAGAUGCAAUAAUUCAGUGUGAAGUUCUGUCACGUACCAGAGAUUUGCAAGCAAUGAAAAUCUGAAUUACAAGAAACAAGCAAACAAACAAACUUGUCAGUCAAAAUAACUUGCACAUGUAAGUUGAAACAAAUUUGGACUUUAAAUCCUCUUAACUUGAAAUGAAAAAUUUUAUAAACAUAAGUUAUUUUAAAUUGUCACUGUGAGUUACACUAAUGCAGAAAUGUGUGUUUGUUUGACUAGGUAAGGAAAGUUUUCUUGCACUGACAAUGUAAAAUAAUUAUUUGUUUUAACUCACAGUAUUAAGUUGAAACAAGUGAUUAAAAGUUAAUUAACCUUGACAAGUUAAAAAACAAUGUUGAGACAACUAGACCACUGUACUUAAAUCAACUUUUUGAACUUUAAUUUUUUAGUUGAAACAAUGGUCAUCUUCAAGUUGAGUUAACUUGCAUUUUCAAGGCAGCAAGUGAACUUGCAUUUUCAAGUUAAACCAACCUGAAAUGUCUUACAAUGGAGAUGGAUACAUAGCACUCCAGGUAAGAGGAAACACAUGUAUUUUUAAUCUUGGGGUGAAUUGGCCCAAAUUUGGUAAAGACUGAAUGCAAUGUGUAGCAGAGUUGAAAAAAUGGCAAACAAUAUGUUUAGGUGGAAAUGGGUGAGGACUACUGAGUAAGUAGUCUAAAACCAAGAAAGCCAGCAAAAUAUAAAUGUUGCUUUCACAUGCCACAGGAGUUCAGGAAUUGUGAACCAAAACGUUAAGUGAGGCCCAUGACCCAAAUUUCACUCAAAUCUAUUAUAGUUUUAGGAUAUCCUGCUAACUAAUAGAUGGACAAACACAUGAGGGACUGAAAACCAACUUGACAGAGGUAAUAAAGUAUUAUUUUUUGUAUAUGAAGGAACAAUGAGCCACAACCAAAGUCCAUAAAGGUUAUCAGCUAGUGAAAGUUUUAUUUUCCACCAUUUUACUUAGAAAAGAUGUCUUACAAUCUAACCUGAGAACAGUGAGGCUGCUACAGAGAGAAAGUAUUUCUUUUCUUUCUUUUGCCUUUUCAAAAAAGAAACACGAGAAAAAAAGAAUUAGCCACGAGUGACCUUUCAUUUGUGAACAUCCACCUUCCAAAGCAUUAUUCAUGUCUUUACAUUUAUACUCUCUGCUCUUCUCUCACUGAGGUGUAAAAAAAAUUCUACUGCAAAACAUCUAUCAUUCAACUUUGACUAGGAGCCUCGUUUGAUAGAUCAGACACUUGCACUAUUCAUAUCAGGUUUGAAUCUAGCAGUAGUAGCAGAACAGCACUUCCAAAGCACAAGCUGUUAACUUGCAGAGUCUGAGAUAUUAAAAUGUGAUAGUCUGCCUGAUUUUGCCAGGGGUCUGAGUGUUGGUUUUGCUUUGCUGGAUCUUGAGCUGUUGACACAGGGAGAAGCAAUCGUACUCUAAUAAGUGGCUCCGAAGCUGGAUAUCUCUAUUCCAUUUUCACUCACAUCGCCCAAAGCGGAACAAAAAUACAUCAUGUAAAUUCAUUCACAAAAUCAUCAACAAUGUUAAUAUUGGCUGUUUGUACAACCAAUUACAGUUUACUUAUUGUUCGCCUGAGUGGGUGGAGAAUUAUGUGAGAUCAUUUCCAAGUUCCCCACUUUCCAACUAUUCCGUCUUUUCAUGGAGAACAAGUUGUGCUCAACUAAGAAGUGUAACACAGAAUUUCUGUGUACUCCUUUUCCAUAGUGAGCAGAGUCUUUGAGUACCGCUCUCCAGGGUGCCUCCCCCCUUGCGCGUUGAGCUCCAUUUGAAGUGCUGCAAUACCAAAAUAGAGCAAACAGCUUGAAAUGAAACAUGUGGAGAUUAUUCUUACACGUACUGAGACACUGGUAAAUCACACAUGAAAAGAAGAUGAAAAUAAAACCCACACUACCUAUAUAUAGUUUGGCAAAAGUUGGAAUUUGCACCGUACUUCUCUCCAGUCCACAAUUCAGCGCACUGGGUCUACAUGUUCCACACUUGUACAUUUCAAUUUGUAAUUAAAUAGCAUUUGAACAGUUGGUUCUUUACAAGUGAUUUUGUUGACUUUUUUAAGUUAUUUUUCUGGUUAAGCAAAUGCCCAACAAUUCAAGUAUACUACUUUUUUUCAAAUCAAGCUCCAGGAUUGCACACACACGUCGUGAUAAUAUAAUAAAGAUAAUUAUUAUAACAAAGGGCUAGCAUGAAGUUAAU